rnacentral:rRNA from 1 species
AUUGAACGCUGGCGGCAGGCCUAACACAUGCAAGUCGAACGGGUGGCGGACGGGUGAGUAAUGUCUGGGAAACUGCCUGAUGGAUGGGGAUAACUACUGGAAACGGUAGCUAAUAACGCAUACCAUCAGAUGUGCCCAGAUGGGAUUAGCUUGUUGGUGGGGUAACGGCUCACCAAGGCGAGGAUCCCUAGCUGGUCUGAGAGGAGGAUCAGACACACUGGAACUGAGACACGGUCCAGACUCCUACGGGAGGCAGCAGUGGGGAAUAUUGCACAAUGGGCGAAAGCCUGAUGCAGCCAGGCCGCGUGUAUGAAGAAGGCCUUCGGGUUGUAAAGUACUUUCAGCGGGGAGGCGUUACCCGCAGAAUAAGCACCGGCUAACUCCGUGCCAGCAGCCGCGGUAAUUC